ensembl:lncRNA
CUGGGCAAUUUAAAUGCUAUUUGCCUCUUAUCUACCUCAAAAUGUCCAGUGUAAUUUGUGAGAUUUUCUUAACAAUAACUUUUCUCUACUGGAAGAAAUGGAAAUGUUUGGUAAACUCUCUAAUAACAUUCUGGCUGGUAGAGAUUGUCUUUCUUGUUCACUUUUGUUUCCAUAUUGCUUUUCAGCAUAUCCAGCCCAUUUGCACUCAAAUAUGGUCAUUAUAUAACUGAACUGAAUGAAUUGUAUUCAAGUUUUCAAUUCUAGGUAGACCUGUUAAAGGUUAAUUUCACAUGCAUAGCAAGUAAUAUUUUAAUUAUAGUUAUGAAAAUGUCAAUAGUGCAAAUAUUUGGAAUUCGCCUAACCACCUUCUAUUUUUAAACCAUCCACUCAUUCAACAAACAUUUAUUGGACAUUUUCUAGGUGGCAGGUACUAUUCUUGGCACUGAGGAUAAAGCAGUGAAGAGAACACAAAAAUCUAUGCCCUCAUAGGCUUGCAUUCUAGCGGAAGAAUGGAGAUAUCUUUUCCAUCUCUAAACUCAGUUUAGUUACACUCAUCCAGAAUUCAUCAGGGAGUGAAAUGAAUUGCAUAUCUUUUUUUACUGCUUUUUAUUUUUUCCAUUAUAGCUGGUUUACAGUGUUCUGUCAAUUUGCUACUGUACAGCAAAGUGACCCAGUCACUCACACAUGUAUAUUCUUUUUCUCACAUCAUCCUCCAUCAUCUUCCAUCAUAAGUGACUAGAUAUAGCUCCCAGUGCUAUACAGCAGGGUCUCAUUGCUUAUCCAUUCCAAAUGCAGUAGUUUGCAUCUAUUAACACCAGAGUCCCAUCUUUAUUAGGUCACUCAUUUUGUCACAACUUUAACAGAAAAUGGAAGCUAUGCAAUUCCAGCAGAGUGAUUAGAACAUUAUUCCCUCAGAGAGAUCUUGUGAAACUUCAUAAGACUCUCUUCAAAGGAGCAAGUACUAAGUUCUUGUCGUGUGUCCAGCUUCCUCUAGAUCUGUGAGAAUAUAUUUAAAGCCCAGAAGACACGGUGUACGUCUUAAGAAAACUAUUACUCCAGCAUCCCUGCAUGGUUUUCUAGAAUAGCUCCAUGAAGAAGAAAGCAUAAGCACCAAGAAGCUUCAUAAAAAUAGACUCUACUUCCCACGGUGCAGCAGUAAAGAACUGGAUGAGUAUCCGUGAGGACAUGGGUUUGAUCCCUAGCCUUCCUCAGUGGGUCUGGGACCUAGUGUUGGUGUGAGCUGUGGUGUGGGUCACAGAUAGGGCUCAGAUUCAGUGUUGCUGUGGCUGAGGUGUAGGCUGGUAGCUGUACCUUCAAUUCGACCCCUAGCCUGGGAACUUCCAUAUGCCACAUGCACAUAUGGACCUGAACAAAAAGAAAAGACAAAAAAAAAAAUCGACUUCAGUUACCUGAUUCCAAAAGACAGAACCAUGGGCAGGCAGCGUCACAUUCAGUAAGUAUGUAUUAACUAAAUAAAUGAAAGAGUCGUAAAGAUAUUUAUCAUGGGCCAUUUUCUACUUAAUGAAUUUAAAAAUAUCUCUUCCUAAGGCUUCACCAUGUUUGAUAUGGUACAUUUCUUCUUGCUUCAAGGAGCCAUGUGUGGCUUUCUUAACAUCAAGACAAUGUCCUUUACACAGUAUAGAAACAACUGAAGUAUCUAGAGAUGACUUUAUAGGAGGUCCACGAAUUGAAACAUAGACCAAAAUGAAGAACCUAGAAUGAGGUCAAUCUGAGUAGUCAAAAGACAAGUCCUGGGUUCUUGCAAGCUCUAAUGUGCUGAUACUUUACUCUUGAAUUGUUCUUAGAUCCUCCUUCAAAGGAGUGGUACAAGAGCAAGAACAACCACAACAAUAAUGGAAACAGUGACAAGAAUAAUGACAGCUACCCCUGGGUGCGCAUACUCAUACACAGCUCUUUAUGCCAUCUUCCUGCAAACUCCACAAGGUAGAGGAGAGAAUUAAAUGGAAAGACAUGAAGCCCAGGGAACAAGCCCGAAAAAGUUUCCCUCCCCAGGCUGUAAGGCACCUGCUUUUGUCACAGGAACAAGUAAUUGUGAAUUACAGAGUCCCUGCCACCCAGCCACAGCUGCCCCCCAUGGACCUCUCUCACAUUGCUUUCUGAUUAUUUCAGAUUCCUGUAAAACAACCCUCCGUUCAGAAGCCCUUGUUGUGAAGGGGGAGGAAACAUACUGGCAACUAAACCACUGAAAACAGGUGUCGACACAGAAGAGAUGCCUUUUACCAAACAGCCCACACUCUUAGGCAUUCAUAAGGCACAAUCGGGCUUGACUCUCUUGGAAGAAUAAUAAGAAUACACAGAUAGUGUUUGAUAAUAUGUAAAAGCACAUCCAUGCACAUAAUCUGACUUAAUUUACAGAGUGACACAGUGACUUAGAAUUCUAAUGAACCCCCCUACGAGCUUUACAAAUAAAGAUGUGUGAAUUA